GAUGAACGCUGGCGGCGUGCCUAACACAUGCGAGUCAAGCGAUCUUCUUCGGAAGAGAGCGGCGGACGGGUGAGUAACGCAUGGGUAACCUGCCUCAUACACAUGGAUAACAUACCGAAAGGUAUGCUAAUACAAGAUGAUAUAAGAGAUUCGCAUGGAUUUCUUAUCAAAGCUCCGGCGGUAUGAGAUGGACCCGCGUCUGAUUAGCUAGUUGGUAAGGUAACGGCUUACCAAGGCGACGAUCAGUAGCCGGCCUGAGAGGGUGAUCGGCCACAUUGGACCUGAGACACGGUCCAAACGCCUCCGGGAGGCAGCAGUGGGGAAUAUUGCACAAUGGGCGAAAGCCUGAUGCAGCAACGCCGCGUGAGCGAUGAAGGCCUUCGGGUCGUAAAGCUCUGUCCUCAAGGAAGAUAAUGACGGUACUUGAGGAGGAAGCCCCGGCUAACUACGUGCCAGCCGCCGCGUAAUAC
rnacentral:rRNA from 1 species